rnacentral:lncRNA from 1 species
AUUGAACUCCUAAACUUUUAAAAAUAUAAAGAUUGGUGCUUGUAGGUUUUCAGUCCUUGAAUUAAAAAAUGUGCGGUUAGGAUGAUAGUGAUCAUCUAGAAUUGAAUAGGUGGUUGGUUAAUUAAAUAGUAUGAAUAAACGGUUGCAAAUGGUCAAAGUGGUAAAUCUAACGGUGGAUUACUUACAAAAACCAUGUGUUUUGUAUUUUUACAAACACCACAACCGGACACCAUAUAUAAUUUUAAAAAACAAUCCAUAUACAAGUUUAUUUAUAAAUUGCCAUCUCUAAGAAAUCAUUUUGUUCAAGACUCCAUGCAAAUCGUCGAGUGAAACAAACGGAUGUCCAAGCACUUUCCUUUAAGGGUACGUUUGGUUCGCAUUAUGAAAGAUUACUAGGAGUAAAAAGAUAUCCGAGAAUCUUAUUUCUAUUCAUCCUAUUACUAAGAUUGUAAUAUUUCGGUGUUUGGUUCGUACGGUCAUAUUAUUUAGUCAUGUUAUUUAAGAUUACGAAAAAUAUACAAUCAAUUAAUUAAUUAAUUUAAUUAAUUUUAAAUAAUACUAUAAAAAAAAUUCAACAUCUUUUUAGAAAAAAGAGAGAGAAUAUAGGUUAGAAAGAGAGAGCAUAAUUAAAGAAAUAGGAAGAGAAAUAGAGUCGAGGUUAGAGAGAAUGAGAGGGUUGAGAUUUUAGAAAAAGAUAGGGAGAAAUAGCUUAAUUUAGAAAGAGAAAAAGAGUUGAAGUUUAGAAAAAAAAAAGAUAAGUUUAAAGAGAGAUAUGAGGUUAGAGUGUAAAAAAAAAUAAAACCAACUAACCGGCGGGUGAGAAGAAAAAAAAAAAAUAGACAUAUUAUAAUUACUCCAAUAUAUUAAUAUAAGAAUACCAACCCUCUCUCAAAGGAAUGAGAUUAAUACUUUGGGAUGCAUCUCAGUCCCAAGUAAAUAUAGUAUUACCAACUAAAUUACUUAAUCCGUUUAGCCAAACACCGCCAUAUUUUUUUAUUUCUAUUGGAUUAUUAGGAAUCUUAAAAAGAUAGCGCGAACCAGACGCACCCUUGAAGUAUUCUGACUAGACCUGGCAAUCUCGACCCAAACCCGCGGGUACCAGCGGGUUACCCGCAAAUUUGCGGGUAUGGGUACCAACUUUUUCAACCCAAAAAAUUAUAAGUAAAACGGGUGGGUACCCAUUAAGCUAUGACCAUUUUGGGUAACCCGCGGGUACCCACGGGUACCCACACAUAUAUAUUUUAAUUACAAAAUAUAUUUUUUUAAUUAAUAUAUUUAUUUAUUUAUUUAUNGUUAGAGAGAAUAAGAGGGUUGAGAUUUUAGAAAAAGAGAGGGAAAAAUAGCAUAAUUUAGAGAGAGAAAAAGAGUUGAAGUUUAGAAAAAAAAAAAGAAGAUAAGUUUAGAGAGAGAUAUGAGGUUAGAGUGUAAAGAAAAAUAAUACCAACUAGCCGGCAGGUGGAAAGAAAAAAAAAAGAUUAGACAUAUUAUAAUUACUUCAAUAUAUUAAUAUAAGGAUAUUCACCUUCUCUCAAAGGAAUGAGAUUAGUACUUUAGGAUGCAUCUCAUUUCCAAGUAAAUAUAGUAUUACCAACUAGAUUACUUAGUGCGUUUAGCCAAACACCGUCAUAUUUUUUUUAUUUCUAUUAAAUUAUUAGGAAUCUUAAAAAGAUAGCGCGAACCAAACGCACCCUAAGAGUAAGUUUUCUGCAGUUUCAUGCACAAAAAAUUUCCCCAUUCAGAAUGAUUCUUAUGUCCAUUAGCAACAAGAUCAAUUUCACGCCAUCGGGCUAUUUUAUCUGCACCUCCUUUUAUUCAGAUCUCUGGAGUGUCUAGUAUGGCCUAGAAUGGCAAGGUUUAUCGACCGUAGCACGACAAACAACAUUUCAACCGCGAGAAAUAUUUCCUCAGUUUUGCAAUUACUGCAGCAUCGUUCUACUUCAUGAACAAGGUGAUAUAUUCACUGCUGCUGCUACUGAUGGGCCACUUAUAAGUGUAUUAAUAGAGAUUGUAGGAAGCCUCGAUCACUUAUUAGUUUCAAUCAUUAUCAGACAAGUUUACUCACAUUUCGCUUUGCUGGAUUUAGCUGGAUUUGAAAACUCUGGUCUCUUCAAGCAGAUAGGGAUGGGGUGGACUUGAAUGACUUGUUUUAAUGGCUUUACUCAUUUAUAUUGCGGUGUUUAUGUUCUCUUUGGUCAAUUAUGAUCAAUUCGUAUACGCUUCCUUUGACAAAAAUGCAUCAGAUCUUGUUUGAGGUUCCCAAGUUUCUCGAUAAAUUAACUUACUUGAACAUACGAAUAAAAAUGAUAGGUAACUUGUCUUUGCUUUCAACAAAGGUUCAUUCAACGAAGAAAACAAAAAUUGUUUUACUUUGCUCCAGACCGAAACACAAACCUGCCGGGCUAGGUCUAUAACGUGCUGCACUUUUCUCCUGCUGAUUCCAGCCGGCAAAAGAGGAAGAUGAAAACCGCUCUCGUUUUUCUACUUCCAUAUGCAAUUAUAUUUUCACGUUCGUUCGAAUCCUAAGUUUGGUAUAUUCCUUUUCUCCGAGUACUUUGAACUUUGGUUCAGGUUAUGCUUCAUCUUCGUCGAAUCUGCAAUUGUACUGAGAUGUUAGAGUUAUUAUUAAGGUUCAAGGAAUUGCUAUUUCUAUUCUCCCCUUUCUUCAUUGCUAAUUUAGGCUAAACAAUAGGCUCGUAAUUGUAUCAAGCUCGAAAUCCGCUCAUAAAUAAUUUUUCAAAACAAAAAAAAAGAAAAAAAGAAGUGACUUUUUUUUUUCUGUAAAAGAUUAAAUAAUUAAAAAAGCUGGGUGUUUCGAUAAUAUAAUGUAGUGAUUGGUUCUUUCAAUCGACUUUCAUCGUCUCUUGGCAUGCAACAAGAAAAACAUAUGAUGAAACAUCCAAAAUUCGCAUUAAUUUCCAUUCGAAUUGAGGAAAAUAAAUGGCCAAUUUGCCUAUAAUCUCUUGUUAAUUUUCGACUAACCAAGCUCUAACAAGCUUUCUUAAUUAUGAGACAAAAACAAAGCCUAAUUAAGAACAAAUUUUCAGAAUUACCAUCACGAUCAACAUGGUUAGAAGGGAAAACGCAUCGUCAUAAUAUACAAGUAUUAAAUCCGAAUUUACACCAACACCAAAUCCCCAAUCACUCGUACGACAUUAAUCUCUCUUUUUAUUAUUCGAGUCGAAUAUAUGUUCCGAUCAAACUCGGCGCAGUCUCAGCCGCGGGGAUCUUCGACGGCGCCAUCGGGAGGCGGCGAAAGCGCGGCGGCGGAGAGGGCGUCGGCGAGCGCGCGCAUCGCCUUGACCUGCAUCUCGAGCGCCGCGACGUAGUCGGCCGUCUCCUCCAGCAGGCUCGGCGCCGGCAGUUUCCGGCACCCCGGCACCAGCCGCCCCAGCAGCCGGAGCCGCUCCUUCACCUUCGGCUUCGCCGGAGACGGAGCCGGAGGUGGCGGGGGGAGGCGGCGGCGGCGGCGGCGGCGGAGUUUUCCGGCGGAGGACUUGAGGAGGAGGGGCUUGCGGCGCCGGGCGAGGAGGACGGCGCGGCUCCAGCGAGACUGGCCGCCGGCGGUCAGGGCGAGGGCGGAGUCGGCGGCCUCCUUGACGGCGCGGGCGCGCGCGGCGCGGAGCGCCGCGAGGAGGCGGCGGCCGUAGGCGCGCUGCUGGGCGCCGGUGCGCCACUUGGUCUCGGCCGGGGGCCCGGAAGCGGCCGGUUUUUUUCUGGACCGGGUCGCGGAGGACGACGACGACGAGGGUUCGGAGGAGGAGGAAGAGGAGAUGGAGAGCAUGAUGAUGGUGAUGACGAUGAUGAUUCAAUGGAGUUAGAGAUAAAGAGAGAAAGGAAAGAGGGGAGGAAGGAAAUGUGGCGGAUUUAUCGAAAGAGGGGAGUUAGUGGUGAGAUUAGCGAUAUUUUUUAUUAGGUAAAAGAAUAUAGAAAACAAACUGUUACUCUCAUUCAAUAAGAUAUAUACAUCUUGCACUCUUUUUUUGUUUUUUUUUUCAAUAAUUUUUGGUAUACAAUAAAAUUAAUAUGAUUAGUAAAUAAAUUUUAAUUUUAAAAAGUUUAAAACGUAAAUUUUACAUCUAUAUUAUAAAUGUACCAACAGUAUUACUUAAAAAAAUUAAUAUUUUUACUAACACUACAAUGAAAAAUGAAUUGCAAUAUUAUAAUAUGGCAAUCUAAAGGUUAGACUUUAAACAUUAUCUUAUUAUUUUUUUAAAUAUACAUAUGUUUUCAAUAUUAAAAUUUGGAUGGCCUUGGCUCAAUUUCAAGACAGCGGAUCUUAGAAUUACAAUUCCAUUUGAGUUGUACAAUUAACAUUUAACAAAAGAUAUUGUAAUAAGGCCAUUUUGAGAUUGGUCCCUAUACACUCUCUUAACCUUCAUUUUUAUUUGAAUUAUUAUUUUACGUAGUUAAGUUUAAAAGUUUGAUAAGCUUAGUGACCCAACUAGCUAUUAUUUGUUUAUUGAUUUAAUUUUAUUUUAUAAAUAAUUAAAAUUUUUAAUUUGAUAAAAUUAUAACUAUUUAAUGAAAUAAACUCAAGAGAAAAUAUUGAUAAAAAAAUAAUGUUUUUUUUUUAGAAAAAGCUAGUACGCUACCCGCUUCAUUCAUUUAGCAGAUGAAUUUAGCUGUAGAGAUUGAGACAACGCGGUCUCGAAAAACAUUGAGGGCAACCAAAACAAAAAAGACAAAUAAAAACUAAAAUAAAAAAGUAAAGUUGAGAGGCUCAUUUUAGAUGACCUAUAUAGUUUGAGGGGGUCUUCAUACAUUUUUUACUCUUUUUCUUUUUCCUUUUUAGUAUAUAUUUAUAUUUAUGUAAUAGUGGGGUUUGGUGUGUGGUCUUGCAAAGCAUGUUGUGUUAAUGGUUUUAUUAAGGGAAAGGGGGGGAAUAUGUUUGUGGCACGGCAUGUGAAUGGAGUGAAAGGCCAAUAGGGCAUUAGGGGCCUAUUUCAUUUUAGGUUACAUGAUUCCAUCACUAAAGGGGGAAUUUAUUUAUUUAUUUAUUUAUUUAUUUAUUUUUUGGUUGGUAGCUUUUGCAUGGUCUAUUUAUCGACUAUUCUUGUGACACACUCGAUGACUGUUAAUUAAAUUGAGAAAUGAUUUUGCCUCAAAUUGAUUCACAUUUCUAGCUAAGUUUAUUUCUAAAUGAAAUAAAUAAACCGGGUAGCGUGCUAUCUAUUUCUCAAAAAAAAAAAAAAAUUACUGAGGAUAAAGCUGAAAUAUAAAAGCUUGUUAUAUAGCUAAGUUCAAUCAUUGGAGCACAUUAACCUUUAUUAUUUAACUGCCGAGGCUAGCUAUGAUAUUAUUUUACUUACUAAAUGGUCUAAUAAAAAACAUACAAAGAAUGAUCAACAACUACGAGAGACUGAGAGAGUGAGAGAGUUAGGAUCGAUUAUCCUAGAAAAUGAAUGCUCCUCGAGUACCCGAUUAUCCUAUAAAUUAUUUAUUACACUAAUAAAUAAUUUAUACAAGCAUGUUCUUACUCUAAAAAAGCUUCCCUAAUAGAUAUAACUAAAAGGUUACAAGCUAUUACUGUAUGUGAAAAUAAAUAUAAUAUAUAAUGGAGGAAAUGAGUUCACUGUAGAAACUUUGUAAGUAGAUAAUGAGUUUUCCAUGAUUUGCUAUAUAUCCACCAUAGUUCACUUAUUACAAUCUUUUGGGAUUUUUUUUUUAAAAAAAAAAAGUUCACAUAACAACAACAGCACAAUAAUGUGGCUACCCCGUACGAGCCGAGCAACAAUCAGUAGACAAUUUCAUUACGUAUAUUGGUGGGGAUUUGAUUGAUACUCGCCUAAUAAAAACAACAAAUUAAAAAACUCUUCCCAUAUAUUCCUCUACGUACGUACUACACUGCACCUCGAUCCGCAUCUUCUAAUUACAAUAUUAUCAACACUCAAAAAACACAUGCAUGCAUCCCAGUAGUAGUUAAUUAGUAAUUGCUUUUGGACGUCCUAUUUUCUACUUAAUUAAUACAACAAUUGUAGGGACUUAAUACAAUUGCAUGCUAAAGUAAAAUGUAUAAAUGAUCUAGUGUAACGUUAGAAAAUGUAAAAUUAAUUUGUGUUCGUAAAUGAUUUGUCGUGAAAAUAAUGGAGGGGAGAGCCCGAGAAAAAAAGCGUUACUCGCUUCGCCUUUGGCUUUCCCACUACGCAAGUGCGGAACAGGCUCCACCAUUUUUUGCUUUAUCCGUGGACGUCGCUUUACGCAGCUUCUUUUUUUUUUUAUAUAUAAAAAAAAAUUAUUAUUUUAGAAUAAAUAAUAACAGCUAGUUAUGUAUAACUAUAUUAGAAUAAUCAAUUAAUUAAUUAAAUAAUUAAUUGACAAGUAUUAAUUAAUUAAUUAAUGAUGUUCCUUGUUGCUGUUGGGUAGUGGUGGAGGUGGAUGUGUUAGCGAGCUAGUGGUUUUAUACUUUGUAUGUAGUAGAAAUUAUGAAAAGGGAAUGAAUUAUAAGGGGAAAAAGAAGUGGGGCUUAAUUAGGUGGGAGAGCAUUUGUCCAUUAGGGAUUGGAUUUAUAUAUAUAUAUAUAAUUUUGGGUUUAGAUGUUAUGUUAUUUGAUGUUGCUUGAGUUUCUUAAAAUAGUAGCCCAAUUAAUUAAAUACCUUCUCUUCGCAGCAGGUACUUUAAAUAUAAUAAAAUGAUGAUUAUUUUUUUAUUCAACUAAAUAUUUUUUAAAACUUUAAUGGAUUAAAAUUAAGUAGUUAUUAAAUAUAUAUAUAUAUAUAUAUAGAGUUGAGUUAGAAUACUCUCAAUAGUAAACGGGGCGUUUUACUAUCGAGUUGUUUUCGAUGAUAGAGCUUCCAAAUUGACGAUCGGCUCCGUUAAAUAUGAUCUAAACCAUUUAAACUACCUAGAAAUCAAAUUUCACGCACUUUCGAUAUUAUUCUUUUAUCUAUCUAGUGAACAAAAAAUGAAUGGCUGAAAAUGAAUAUUCUUUAAAAAAUGAUGAUAGGAGUCUUGUAAUCAAGAUCAAGAGUAUAGAUCUUGUUUUAAAUAGUUUAAAGAAUUUUCUAUCAAAAAUUCAAUUGAUUUGGAUAUCUUUACACCGUUAAACGAGAAAACGUCUUUUAUCCACCAUUAAAAUUAUAAAUUUUGAAACCCGUUGAUCAUUAGGCAAAUGAUGUCGAAAAGAUUUGAAAUUUGAUUUCUAAACACUUCAAGCGGUAUAGAUCAUGUUCAACGGAGCCGAUCGUCAAUUUGGAAGCUCUAUCAUCGAAAACAACUCGAUAGUAAAACGCCCCGUUUACUAUCGAGAGUAUUCUAGCUCAACUAUAUAUAUAUGAUUGGUAAAAAUAUAUUAUUUAAGUAUGAAGUUGUCUAAAAAAUUAAUGGUGCAGAAGUUUCCAACUUUUUAUUUUCUAUAAAUAAGGUAUUGUGCUUAAUUUUUUAGAAAUAAAUAUAUAUUGAAACCUCUUGAACUACAGCUGGUACUUUUGAUAAAACCGCUCAACUUGCACUUUUUGGAUUAGCACCUUCUUAAUUUUUAGAACUAAAUUCUUUUAGCUAUUUUAGUUAAAAAUUUAUUACAUUUAUUUAGCUCUACUAUUUUUUUUUUUCUAAUUUUAUUAGUUAGAAAUAAAUUUAAAAAAUAAUUAAAAUAAGUAAAAGUUGACGGAUCCAUUUCAAAUUGGGAAAUAGUUUUUUUUUUUCUUCGUUUAUUUUAUUAAGAAAUAAAUUUAGCUGGAAAUGUGAAUCAACUAGGAUUCGAACUUGGGUCUCGGAUACCAACCACCAAGUCCUUUGCCACUUGCUCUAGAAACAGUCGGUAAUUAGGAAAUAGUUGAGGGAGAGUUCCUGAUGGUUGUAGCGAUAGCUAUAUAACAUUGCUCUUUAUAAUUUGCGAAUAUGCAUAUAAUCAUCCGUAAAUUAUAAAUUUUAUCACUGGUUAUUACAUUUUUAUUUUAAAUAUUUAAUCUUAAAAAUUUUUAUAUAAAUACUUUAGAUAACUGGAUGGUUAAAAUUGAAAAUCAAAAUUAACAAAAGAAAACAGGUUAAAUUGGUCUAAGAUAGAGUGGUGCAUACACGCAACAAACAUUUUCUCUCUCCCUCGUAUCGUCUGCCCGGAUAAGAUUAUUUAUUGCCUGAACCUUGUUCACCAUGUCAUUCAUGGACCGCCCAAGUGAUUUACUUUUCGUCAAGAAAAAUUCUUGAAAUAACUAUGGUUUAAUAAAAAUAAAAUAUACUAUGACAGGUGUGAUUUACAAUAUUUAACUAACUUAUGCAUAAUUAUUUGGAAGAACUUCAAAAAAACCCCUGUGGUUUCACACUUUUUAAUUUUAGUACCCUGUGUUUAAAGUGUAUAAAGUUAGUAUUCUGUGGUUUCUCACUUUAUCACUUUAGUACCCUGUGGUUUAAAGUGUAUCAAGUUAGUAUCCUGUGAUUUUGCACUUUAUCAUUUUAGUACCAUGUGGUUUCACACUUUAUCACUUUAGUACCCUAUGGGCGCGUUUGAUUCGCACUAUGAAAGAUUACUAGGAGUAAAAAGAUAUCCGAGAAUCUUAUUCCUAUUAAUCCUAUUACUAAGAAUGUAAUAUUUUAGUGUUUGGUUCGUAUGGUCAUAUUAUUUAGUCAUGUUAUUUAAGAUUAUGAAAAAAAUACAAUUAGUUAAUUUAUUUUUAAAAUUAAUUUUAAAUAAUACUAUAAAAAAUUUCAACAUCCUUUUAGAAAAAAGAGAGAGAAUAUAUGUUAAAAAGAGAUAUUAUAAUUAAAGAAAUAGGAAGAGAAAUAGAGUCGAGGUUAGAGAGAACGAGAAGGUUGAGAUUUUAGAAAAAGAGGAGGAGAAAUAGCAUAGUUUAGAGAGAGAAAAAGAGUUGAAGUUUAGAGAGAAAAAGAUAAGUUUAGAGAGAGAUAUAAGGUUAGAGUGUAAAGAAAAAUAAUACCAACUAGCCGGCGGGUGAGAAGAAAGAAAGAGAUUAGAUAUAUUAUAAUUACUCCAAUCCAUUAAUAUAAGGAUACCCACCCUCUCUCAAAAGAUUGAGAUUAGUAUUUUGGAAUGCAUUUCAUUCCUAAGUAAAUCCAAUAUUACCAACUAGAUUAUUUAAUGCGUUUAGCCAAACAACGUCAUAUUUUUUUAUUCCUAUUGAAUUACUAGGAAUCUUAAAAAAAUAGCGCGAACCAAACGCACCCUAUAGUUUAAAAAAUCAUAGGGUACUAACUUGAUACAAAAUUAAAACCACAUGGUACUAAAGUGAUAAAGUGCAAAACCACAGGAUACUAACUUGAUACACUUUAAACCACAGGAUACUAAAGUGAUAAAGUGAAAAAUCACAGGGUACUAACUUGAUACAUUUUAUACCACAUGGUACUAAAGUGAAAAAAAAUUGAAACCACAUGGGUUUUUUUUGAAGUUUUCCCUAAUUAUUAAGCAUAGGUAAUUUUAAAAAUCUAAU